AGUCAAAGCUGAUCAAGCUAAUCCCUGACAUCCUUGUUUCUCUAGAGUGAUGUCCCAUCAUCUUACUGACACCUAGGAGCCAAAUCAAAGUCUGACCCUGAGACCACUGUGGGAAAAUCUCUCCACAGAACUUUUGUACUCAUCUGCAUUGGCUGCAACCUCCAAGCUUCAUGUACAUGGAGACACCUAUAUUUCAUGGCUUGGUCAGAUCUGUUCAUAACUGUUUCUCCAUACUUAAUUCCUGGAGUCUCAAGUGUUCCAUAUUGUAGGCUUGGGGAGAGUUAAGAUUCUUAUUUUAUGCAGCUUACAUUCUAAAGAAGAAAGAAACAUUAGACUAAUUAGCAAAUGAAUGUUAUCCCUUCGUGUCUAGAUGUUCCACAUCUCUAGAUUCAAUCAAUCAUGUGCUGAAAAUAUUUGGGAGAAACUUUGUCUGUGAUGAAAAUGCACAAACGUUCCCCCUGUCGUUAUUCCUUAAAUCAAGCAGUGUAGUAACUAAUUGCACAGCAUCAUCGCAUUGUAGUAAACAGCAUAGGCAAUCAAGAGAUGAUUUGAAGUAUUCAGGGAAGUGUGCAUAGCAGUUUGAUAUGAGCAUUACAUCAAUUUAUAUGAGAGAUGUAAAUGUCUGAGGAUUUCAGCAUCUACUGUGGACCCCUGGAUCAAUCUACCCUGGAUAUUGAUGGAGCAUCAGUUAUGUGACACAAUGCUAGCGGCAGAUAUUCUAAAGAGACUGAAUGCCUGAGAAACAAAUGGAGAACAAUGAGUGCUAGUGCUUAAAGAGAAAGACUAAAAAAAAAGGGGGUCAGGAUUGAAGAAAGGACAUUCAACAGAGACCUAGGUGAGAAGAGGUAGCAAGACAUUUAUGCACCUGGGGAAGGGGGAGGACGCCAGCUGGAGUGACACAGGGUUCUACUCUUACACAGGACCAAAAAAGAGCUCCCAACGUGUUAAUGUGUGUGUUCAAGCAGAGAAAUAGACACAAGCAAAUCACCCACGGCACCUGCUACUGUCACUCACUUCACAGACAAUGCGUGGAGUGAUGCCUAUUAAGAAAGAACACGACGAAUUAAGAGCAUGUCACUUGUCUGGGGUUUGAUGAAUUGAUUUCCCCAUCUCCCGAGUCUUUCACGCUGCCUUUGCUCCAUGUCCAGGAAGUCUCAAAGAAGAACCUAAGUGCUUACCAAAUACAACAGUGUUCUAUUAGUCUGUCCGUUGGAGUCUUCCAGAGCACAUCAAUAAGACUUUGAUAACUGAGCCUGCCACAUUCUUGUUGAGCCAGAGACUUAAUGGCAGGGACAGAAAUCAUUUUUUUUUUAAAAAAGAACUAUGUAUUGUAUUUUCAAAAUUAUGUAUAUAUGUGUGUAUGUUGCAGAGAAGUGAAGAUACCUAUGAAUGUCAGAAGAAAUCAGCAGUUCUGACAUAGGUGCUUGGAACCAAAUCCCAGUCUUCAGCAAGAGCAGUCUUCACUCGCUCUUAACUGAUGCAGCUUCUUCGAGAACUUCUCCAUGGGCAAAGGAGAUCAGAGUUGAAUCUUGAUUCUUUGGAAUCUAAGAAACUAAGUUCAUAAAGUCAGUGCAGCGAAUAUACCCACGGCAUUGAGCAACAAAAUGUCACCCCUAGACUGGAGACAGGACGUGGGGGGUCAUUUGCCA